GAUGAACGCUGGCGGCGUGCCUAACACAUGCAAGUCGAGCGAUCCCUUCGGGGAGAGCGGCGGACGGGUGAGUAACGCGUGGGUAACCUGCCCUGUACACACGGAUAACAUACCGAAAGGUAUGUUAAUACGGGAUAACAUAGGAAAGUUGCAUAGCUUUCAUAUCAAAGCUUUUGCGGUACAGGAUGGACCCGCGUCUGAUUAGCUAGUUGGUAAGGUAACGGCUUACCAAGGCAACGAUCAGUAGCCGACCUGAGAGGGUGAUCGGCCACACUGGAACUGAGACACGGUCCAGACUCCUACGGGAGGCAGCAGUGGGGAAUAUUGCACAAUGGGCGAAAGCCUGAUGCAGCAACGCCGCGUGAGCGAUGAAGGCCUUCGGGUCGUAAAGCUCUGUCCUCAAGGAAGAUAAUGACGGUACUUGAGGAGGAAGCCCCGGCUAACUACGUGCCAGCCGCCGCCGUAAUAC
rnacentral:rRNA from 1 species